rnacentral:misc_RNA from 1 species
UCCUGAACUGGUUGACCGACUCAUCAGGGACAUCUACUGUGAUGAUUUAAUCACUAGCGUUGCUUCAGACGAAGAAGCACGCUGUGUGAAGGAAAGGACAGUCCAAAUAUUCAGUGAAGCUCAGAUGAAUAUGACAAAAUGGACUACCAGCUUCCAGCCAACUGACCCCCAGGAGCUAGCCAACUGCUCAAACAGCGAACGAAAGGUGCUCGGAGUGAGCUGGGCCCCAACCACAGAUCAUCUAGUGGUUGAAACUGAUCAGCUGGCUCAACUUGGAAGUUGUCUGCCAGAGACAAAGAGGAGCAUCCUGAAGAUUACGGCGAGAUUCUAUGACCCACUGGGACUCCUGAAUCCUGUGUCGGUGCGGGCUAAGAUGAUGCUCAAAGCACUCUGGAAGGAGGGCAAGGGAUGGGAUGAAGCUCUUCCUAGUGCCGUCCAGUGCCAGUGGAGAAAGUGGCUCCGUGAACUCCGCACUUUGGGAAAGUUUUUCAUUCCUAGAAACUGUGCGCUGGCCGAGAGACCGUACCAGAUUCACGUAUUCUGUGAUGCAAGUAAAGAAGCCUAUGCAGCCGUCCUCUACAUCAGAAGUGAGCAUUCGGAGCAGUGUGCAAGUACCUACUUGCUCAUCAGCAAGUCACGUCUUUCGCCGAGUCAAGAAAUCACCAUUCCAAGGCUCGAGCUUACGGCAGCUCUGAUCGGCGCACGGCUUCUAGCCUACGUGAAGAAACAGCUAACUGUGCCACCCCAGAAAAGCUUCCUAUGGACAGACUCCAUGGUGGCUCUCAGCUGGAUCAAUAGCGACGCGGAUAGAUGGGGCGUGUACGUGAGGAAUCGCGUGCAGGAGCUACAAGAGCUGACCGCCGCAGAGGAAUGGGGACACUGCCCCGGAAACGAGAACCCGGCGGACCUGCCCUCCCGAGGUACGUCAGCGGACCGCCUGAACGGUGACCUCUGGUUGCACGGACCAGAGUGGCUCAGACAGCACGAGUCACAAUGGCCCCAGAAAAGGGAUUCUGAGCCCGAACCAUCACAGUGUCAGCUGGAAGAAAGGAAGCAAGCUCUGGUGGUACUUAGUGACAGUUCUGGAACGCAGCAGCUCUUUGAUCCGGUCGGCUACGGCUCCUUGAAACGUUUACUCAACGUGACAGCUUGGGUACUGAGAUGGGUACACAACUGCAGACAAGACGGCAGACAAGACAGGAAAACGGGACCACUGGUGGCCGAAGAGGUAGAAGGCGCGUUGGAAUACUGGAUCAAAGCUGCGCAAUCAAAGUUCCAUGAAGACGUGUCAGCGCUGAGAAAGGGACAGCCGCUGUCUCCAAAGUCGCGCCUGCAUAGUCUUGGUGCCAGACUAGAGAACGGUAUACUGAAGAAAGAGGGUCGUCUCCAAGAGGCCCUUCUGAAUGAUGAAGAGAAGCACCCCAUCAUUCUGCCGUCGGAUCACCGACUAGUACAGCUACUCGUUGAAGACACUCAUCUGCGGCUGUGCCAUGCCGGCGUGCAGCAGGUGUUGAGUGCGCUCAGGGACAGAUAUUGGAUUCUGCGAGGCCGCCAGGUGGUCCGGUCAGUGUUACGAAGCUGUCAAAGGUGCCUGAUUUUCCGUGCACAACCUCUUGGUCAAGUGGUAGCACCUCUACCAAGCACCAGGACUCGCCCCUCACAACCCUUUAGUCACAUCGGUGUGGACCUUGGAGGACCACUGCUGGUCCGUGGGGGAGCAGGUCAUCAAGCUUCAAGGCUGUAUUUUGUGGUAUUCACGUGUGCGGUUACGCGCGCGCUCCAUCUAGAGCUAGUUUCGUCACAGGGGACCGAGGACUUCAUCCAAGCUUACCGCAGAUUUGCAGCCCGCAGAGGAAAGCCCAGAAGUGUGUUGAGCGACAACGCAAAAAACUUCAAGGGAGCGGCUAAGGUUUUAGCGACUGAGGGCGUGAGCUGGCACUUCAUUGUUGAGCGAGCCCCCUGGUGGGGGGGCUUUUGGGAGCGGUUGGUUGGACUAACCAAGGCUGCCCUCCGCAGAACACUUGGCAGUGCCCUUCUCGGUAGGGAAGAGCUCGAGACAGUUCUCUGCCAGAUCGAGAGCGCUAUCAACCGGCGCCCUCUGACAGCCGUCACUGACGACCCGAGUGACCAGCAGCCGCUCAGACCUGCCGACUUCCUAAGGUGUCCACUGGGAGGAGCAGAGGAAGAGGAGGACGAUCUCCGAGGCCGGCGGCGUUACCAGACUAGAGUUGCGGUGCACCUUUGGAGACGCUGGCAGAGAGAAUACCUGAGAAAUCUGAGAGAUUUCCAACACAGACAGCUGAUCCGAGAAGCAGCUAUCGGUGACUUAGUACUCGUCGAGGGAGAGCAGUCCAACCGGUUAACAUGGAAGACCGGUGUCAUCACAGCGCUACACACUGGCCGAGAUGGACGAGUGCGAUCGGCGACACUGCGCACCACAGAUGGUGACCGACGGCGGCCAGUACAAAGACUUUAUUUACUUGAGGGUAGCAGAUGCUGAGCGUGCCGCCGGUCACGUGGGGGAGGGUGUUGUGAAUUAUCUGCGCGGAGGCGCUGGCAAUGGUCGACGCGUGAGAAAUUUGAAAUGAUUGAAUUGCGUGAGGUGAAAAAUGUCUAGAAAAAGGGGAGAUACUGAUGCGAUGGCUUGAUUUGAAUGAAGCGAUUGAUUAAGUUUUGCUUUAACGUAAAAGGCCUAGAACGAUGAAUUAGAAAUGAUCAACGCGAUCAUGAAAUCACGACAAAUCUCCACCGUCGCACCGUGCAGGACGACGGGUUCGGCGUGGGGGAGCCCCUGAACGAGACGGCGUAUGGUGCCGGUCUGGUGGUGCGCGGUCGGCACUGGGUGCUGCUCUCCG